UGCCAGCAGCCGCGGUAAUACGAAGGGGGCUAGCGUUGUUCGGAAUCACUGGGCGUAAAGCGCACGUAGGCGGACUGAUCAGUUGGGGGUGAAAUCCCAGGGCUCAACCCUGGAACUGCCUCCAAAACUCCCAGUCUUGAGUUCGAGAGAGGUGAGUGGAACUCCGAGUGUAGAGGUGAAAUUCGUAGAUAUUCGGAAGAACACCAGUGGCGAAGGCGGCUCACUGGCUCGAUACUGACGCUGAGGUGCGAAAGCGUGGGGAGCAAACAGGAUUAGAUA
rnacentral:rRNA from 1 species